rnacentral:rRNA from 1 species
CACGUAGGGGGCAAGCGUUGUCCGGAUUUAUUGGGCGUAAAGAGCUCGUAGGUGGUUCGGUAAGUCAGGUGUGAAACCUCCAGGCUCAACCUGGAGACGCCACUUGAUACUGCUGUGACUGGAGUCCGGUAGGGGAGCGUGGAAUUCCUGGUGUAGCGGUGAAAUGCGCAGAUAUCAGGAGGAACACCAGCGGCGAAGGCGGGUCUCUGGGACGGUACUGACGCUAAGACGCGAAAGCGUGGGGAGCGAACAGG